UGUAUUGGAUUUUGUUGUAUUGCAGGAGUAUCUAGAGGUUUCUGCUAAGGCAGACCCCCCUUAAUCUAGGUGCUAUCUAUAAAUAUAUUAAGAGACAGUCCCUGCUCCAUAGAAUGUACUGUCUAACCAAAUAAGACAAAGGAUGGAUGGGAGAUAGAGCUAAAGUGACUUGUCACACAGCAGGUCAGAGUCAGAAACAGAAUCAAAGUAUCCUGACUCCUACUUUAGAGUCUUAUCCAUUGGCCAUGUGGCUUCUCUAGACUUGUGCUCUCAGAGAGAACCAGGCAAAAACAUGAGUAGCCAAGUUAAGAUCCAGAAUAAUUUCUGCAUCUGAUUUUCCCUACAGUCUGUGAGGUAUACAGGUCACCUCAAUACAGAGAUAGAUUUGAGUUAAAGAAUCUGAAUCUGGAUCUGUAUGGGAAUGCAGAUCUGGAGUUGUCCCCAGUUUGGGGACAUCUGUAGUCAGGACCACGUGGAACUUGGCAGUAUCAGUUUGCAAAGUAUAAAGUGAUCCCCAAGGGGGCGGGGGCUGUUCUUUCCCCUUGAUUUGCACCCAUGUGUUACUUUGAGUUCUUAAUUCAAAAUAAUUAAAAACCUCAAAGAGAGACUAAGCCCAAGUCACGCCAUAAAACCAUAGACUCCUCUGCAGAACUUGACAAGAGUCAGCUGAGCCACUUUCCAGAAACUGAGGCAGAAAGAUUCAAUUAUUUCCCCAACGUCACACAGCUGGUCAAGAACUCAAGAUUUCCUUACGUCUAAUGCUACUCUCAGUCCUCCAGCCCAUGCUGCCUCUACUUGUGAGGAGUGGCAAAAAGAAUCCUGUUAAUUCAUUCACCAAUGACACUACACCAUAGCGGUCUCUGAUACCAAGUGAGAAGUAGCUGCUCAGAUACGCAAUCAUGCAAGGCAACAACUGAUCCACAUGAGUUUUUUAAACCUGCAGUUGUGAGAACAGAAAACUUCUGCUUAUCUUUUUAUCAGGUUUUCACUUCAGCUGGUGGUUUUAAGUUGGAAAAAUUCAGCUAAAGUUUUUGGAGAUGAAGUUAUGGUCAGAAUUGUUUCUUCUAAAUCACUUAUUCCAAACAGAAAUGAGCUGAGAUGCAGCAUACCUAUGCUUAGAAGGAUUAGAUGUUUAUUGGUAAAGACUGGUAAACGUCAAUUUCACCACACACACAAGCCAACAAAAAAUAAUUCCAUUGAAAUUAAUUAAAAUUUACAGAUCAGUAGAGAAAAAUGCUGCUUGAGAACUUAGUUUGAUGUAAGGAUAUUUGUAUAUUUUCAUCUGAUGUUAAUAUUUUUUGUAACAAUUAUAGAACAUUAACUUUCAAAUUUCAGCAUUUACAGUCAUUAAAUUAUCUGCUCACCCCAUAAUUUCCAACAACUAUGAAAAUUUAAAUAAAAAUAAGUGUUUAAAAUACUAUCUACCAAAAUUAUAAAAAUUAAAUUCUGCCAAACCUAAAUAUAGCUGUCCUGCACAGUCUUCCAUACGUUUACUUAUCCUCAUUCUCCAGGUAGUGACAUGCCAACAGAUGUUAUGUUUUACCAUAAUUCCCAAAAACAUUGCCUCUAAAACUUCUCUCUGCAUGAAGUGUCACAAUGCCAUGCACUGUGAGGUCAUCAGUGAAAGCUUCAAGCUGAUGGACUCUAAGAACUACUUAGUUGUCAAUUACUAAAGGCCAGGUUGAGAGCCCCUUCCCCACACUAGGGAGCAAUUACUCACAUGAGUAAUCCAGUGAUUGUGCAAGCAGUCCCAUCACAGUCAAUGUGAGUAAUCUCACAAUCUGGCCCUUCGUCUACCAUUCAGUGACUAUGCAAAUGAUGAUCCUGGUCUGAAUAGACCAAAGAAACUCUCUUAUCCUGAUACCUCAGGCUACAACAAGCAAAUCAUACACCACCAAGAGUAUCCCAGUAUCCCCUUUAUUAUUUUCUCUGACUCAAUCACUGGUUUUUAAACUGUAUGCACUGCAAGGCAAAUAUAUAUGCCUUGCAAUGCAAUGCAUACAGUUUAUAUAUAAUUGCAUGUCUUGGAAUCACAGUGAGAAACACUACUGUUACUAGUUGACAUGUAUAACUUCCCGUGCUCAUAUCCUGUGGACUCAAAGUUCCCUGAAUAUAUAUGUCCCAAUUCUUAUUGUUAAGAAUAAGAUUUCUUUCAGAAUGGCAGAGACAUCCUAUAUGCUAGAUUAGUAGCCACUGUACAUCUUUUGAUUAUGCAGGAAUACUGAACUCAGAACAUGCAUGUCAGCCUAAUUCUUUUAUGUUUCAAUUCUGUUCAUAAAGAAAUGGGUACUUUUUUCUGCACAGAGUUUAAAAGUUACAGUUUUGUUGUAUGAAAGAGAAGCUAUAGGUUUUAUUCCUGACCCAAAUGGCAGCUCAGUGUGCAGAACAGAAUAUGCACUAAUAUAGUAUGUCAGUGCCUCUAAGUACUGUGAGCAGAUUUGAAGAUCUCAGAAGGGCAACAUCCUAUUCACAAGUUGAUAAGAAGCAAAACCAGUGUUCAGGUGAUGAGGGAAGCAGGCUAAGUCAUACACCAACCACGGGACAUAAAAAACAGAAGCCUGAAAGCUAUUAGUGCUAGUUCUUAAAGAUAUGCUCAUAUCAUCUAUGGGAGAGGGAGGGAAAAAACAUGCAAUACUUAGGCAUACAAACCUUAUCACCACACACUUUUUUUUGUUUUUUGAUUAUCAGAAACAUUGGAUUUUUAUGAAGGGAAGAGAGAUUUCCUAUUUAUGUAAGUAUUUAUACAUGGUAUGUAUGAGUUUUAUUAUAAGUGACUUUUUGUCCUGGAGUUAGUUCUUAAGACAGAGCCCUAUUCCUUUCCCCUAAGAACCCUGGAAAGAAAUAUUUGCAUGCAUUGUUUGAGACACCAUCUAUGGCGUUCAUUUGUAAUCACGCUAAUGUGUCAAAAAAAAAGUUUCAAUCAUUGGCUGAAAAAUCAGUGGGACUGCUGUGCUCAUGUGGAACCCUACUGAAGCCAGAGGGAUUUCACAAAGGGAGCAACACAACACACUGGGGUCUAAGGUAUUACCCAACAUGAGCAAGGCAUCUGCCCCUCUUAAAAAUAGGGAAGAA